rnacentral:rRNA from 1 species
UACGGAGGGAGCUAGCGUUGUUCGGAAUUAUUGGGCGUAAAGCGCGUGUAGGCGGCCAGGUAGGUCCGCUGUGAAAACCCGAGGCUCAACCUCGGGACGUCGGCGGAAACCAUUUGGCUAGAGUCCGGAAGAGGAGAGUGGAAUUCCCGGUGUAGCGGUGAAAUGCGUAGAGAUUGGGAAGAACAUCGGUGGCGAAGGCGCUCUGCUGGACCAUAACUGACACUCACAGGACGAAAGCUAGGGGAGCGAAUGGG